UUUAGCGGCCGCGAAUUCGCCCUUAGAGUUUGAUCAUGGCUCAGGACGAACGCUGGCGGCGUGGAUAAGGCAUGCAAGUCGAACGCGAACAGAACAACUAAUUCGUUAGUAGUUCUAAGUAGAGUGGCGAACGGGUGAGUAACACGUGGAUAACAUACCUUUCAGUGGGGAAUAACAUCGGGAAACUGAUGCUAAUACCGCAGAUGUCAUUUCAUUGAUUUUGAUUUGACUAAAGGGGGGGCUCCUUAGGGACCUCUCGCUGAUUGAUUGGUCCGCGGCCCAUUAGCUCGUUGGUGGGGUAAUGGCCUACCAAGGCAACGAUGGGUAGCCGGCCUGAGAGGGUGUCCGGCCACACUGGGAUUGAGAUACGGCCCAGACUCCUUCGGGAGGCAGCAGUCGAGAAUCUUCCACAAUGUACGAAAGUAUGAUGGAGCGACGCCGCGUGUGUGAUGAAGGCUUUAUGAGUUGUAAAGCACUGUCAGAGGGGAAGAACAAGCGUAUAAAUAAUAAGUGUACGCUCUGACGUACCCUCAGAGGAAGCUCCGGCUAACUCCGUGCCAGCAGCCGCGGUAAUACGGAGGGAGCAAGCGUUGUCCGGAAUCAUUGGGCGUAAAGGGCACGUAGGCGGUUCGGUAAGUCGAAUGUGAAAUCUCAUGGCUUAACUGUGAAACUGCGUUCGAAACUACCGAACUUGAGUACUGGAGAGGUAUGCGGAAUUCCUGGUGUAGCGGUGGAAUGCGUGGAUAUCAGGAAGAACACCAGUGGCAAAGGCGGCAUACUGGCCAAGUACUGACGCUGAGGUGCGAAAGCGUGGGGAGCAAACGGGAUUAGAUACCCCGGUAGUCCACGCUGUAAACGAUGGGUACUAGGUUUUGGGGGUCUCAACCCCUUCAGAGCCGCAGCUAACGCAUUAAGUACCCCGCCUGGGGAGUACGGUCGCAAGGCUGAAACUCAAAGGAAUUGACGGGGGCCCGCACAAGCGGUGGAGCAUGUGCUUUAAUUCGAUGCAACGCGAAGAACCUUACCAGGGUAUGACAUGUGAGCUUUGACCUUCGGGAAGAGGUUAAUCCUGUGAAAGCAGGAUGAAUCACACAGGUGUUGCAUGGCUGUCGUCAGCUCGUGUCGUGAGAUGUUGGGUUAAGUCCCGCAACGAGCGCAACCCUUGCUGUUAGUUACCAUCGGGUAAUGCCGGGGACUCUAGCAGGACUGCCGGUGAUAAACCGGAGGAAGGUGGGGAUGAUGUCAAGUCAUUAUGACCCUUUACACCCUGGGCUAACCACGUGCUACAAUGGUCGGUACAAAGGGGAGCAAUACCGUGAGGUGGAGCAAAUCCCAUAAAGCCGGCCUCAGUACGGAUUGCAGUCUGCAACUCGACUGCAUGAAGCUGGAAUCGCUAGUAAUCGUGGAUCAGCAUGCCACGGUGAAUACGUUCCCGGGCCUUGUACACACCGCCCGUCAAGCCAUGGAAGUUGGUAGCACUNGAAGUCGUCGACCCAACCUCGUGAGGGAGACGCCGAAAGUGAGACUGGUAACUAGGGCUAAGUCGUAACAAGGUAAAGGGCGAAUUCGUUUAAACCUGCAGGACUAGUCCCUU
rnacentral:rRNA from 1 species